rnacentral:rRNA from 1 species
UGGGGAAUAUUGCACAAUGGGCGCAAGCCUGAUGCAGCCAUGCCGCGUGUAUGAAGAAGGCCUUCGGGUUGUAAAGUACUUUCAGCGGGGAGGAAGGCGAUAAGGUUAAUAACGUUGUCGAUUGACGUUACCCGCAGAAGAAGCACCGGCUAACUCCGUGCCAGAAGCCGAGGUAAUACGGAGGGUGCAAGCGUUAAUCGGAAUUACUGGGCGUAAAGCGCACGCAGGCGGUCUGUCAAGUCGGAUGUGAAAUCCCCGGGCUCAACCUGGGAACUGCAUUCGAAACUGGCAGGCUAGAGUCUUGUAGAGGGGGGUAGAAUUCCAGGUGUAGCGGUGAAAUGCGUAGAGAUCUGGAGGAAUACCGGUGGCGAAGGCGGCCCCCUGGACAAAGACUGACGCUCAGGUGCGAAAGCGUGGGGAGCAAACA